UACGUAGGUGGCAAGCGUUGUCCGGAUUUACUGGGCGUAAAGAGCGCGCAGGCGGCCGAGUAAGUCGAAUGUGAAAGCCCCCGGCUCAACUGGGGAAGGUCAUUCGAUACUGUUCGGCUUGAAGAUAGGAGAGGGAAGCGGAAUUUCAGGUGUAGUGGUGAAAUGCGUAGAUAUCUGAAGGAACACCAGUGGUGAAGGCGGCUUUCUGGCCUAUUCUUGACGCUGAGGCGCGAAAGCUAGGGGAGCGAACGGG
rnacentral:rRNA from 1 species